rnacentral:rRNA from 1 species
AUUGAACGCUGGCGGAAUGCUUUACACAUGCAAGUCGAGCGGCAGCACGGGGGCAACCCUGGUGGCGAGCGGCGAACGGGUGAGUAAUACAUCGGAACAUGCCCAGUCGUGGGGGAUAACACUUCGAAAGAAGUGCUAAUACCGCAUACGUCCUGAGGGAGAAAGCGGGGGAUCUUCGGACCUCGCGCGAUUGGAGUGGCCGAUGUCAGAUUAGCUAGUUGGUGGGGUAAAGGCCUACCAAGGCAACGAUCUGUAGCUGGUCUGAGAGGAUGGUCAUCCACACUGGGACUGAGACACGGCCCAGACUCCUACGGGAGGCAGCAGUGGGGAAUUUUGGACACUGGGGGCAACCCUGAUCCAGCCAUGCCGCGUGAGUGAAGAAGGCCUUCGGGUUGUAAAGCUCUUUCGGCAGGAACGAAACUGCGAGCUCUAACAUAGCUUGCUAAUGACGGUACCUGAAGAAGAAGCACCGGCUAACUACGUGCCAGCCGCCGCGGUAAAAC